rnacentral:rRNA from 1 species
GGUUAAGCGACUAAGCGUACACGGUGGAUGCCCUGGCAGUCAGAGGCGAUGAAGGACGUGCUAAUCUGCGAUAAGCGUCGGUGAGGUGAUAUGAACCGUUAUAACCGGCGAUUUCCGAAUGGGGAAACCCAGUGUGUUUCGACACACUAUCAUUAACUGAAUCCAUAGGUUAAUGAGGCGAACCGGGGGAACUGAAACAUCUAAGUACCCCGAGGAAAAGAAAUCAACCGAGAUUCCCCCAGUAGCGGCGAGCGAACGGGGAGGAGCCCAGAGCCUGAAUCAGUGUGUGUGUUAGUGGAAGCGUCUGGAAAGGCGCGCGAUACAGGGUGACAGCCCCGUACACAAAAAUGCACAUGCUGUGAGUUCGAUGAGUAGGGCGGGACACGUGGUAUCCUGUCUGAAUAUGGGGGGACCAUCCUCCAAGGCUAAAUACUCCUGACUGACCGAUAGUGAACCAGUACCGUGAGGGAAAGGCGAAAAGAACCCCGGCGAGGGGAGUGAAAAAGAACCUGAAACCGUGUACGUACAAGCAGUGGGAGCCUCUUAAUGGGGUGACUGCGUACCUUUUGUAUAAUGGGUCAGCGACUUAUAUUCUGUAGCAAGGUUAACCGAAUAGGGGAGCCGAAGGGAAACCGAGUCUUAACUGGGCGUUAAGUUGCAGGGUAUAGACCCGAAACCCGGUGAUCUAGCCAUGGGCAGGUUGAAGGUUGGGUAACACUAACUGGAGGACCGAACCGACUAAUGUUGAAAAAUUAGCGGAUGACUUGUGGCUGGGGGUGAAAGGCCAAUCAAACCGGGAGAUAGCUGGUUCUCCCCGAAAGCUAUUUAGGUAGCGCCUCGUGAAUUCAUCUCCGGGGGUAGAGCACUGUUUCGGCAAGGGGGUCAUCCCGACUUACCAACCCGAUGCAAACUGCGAAUACCGGAGAAUGUUAUCACGGGAGACACACGGCGGGUGCUAACGUCCGUCGUGAAGAGGGAAACAACCCAGACCGCCAGCUAAGGUCCCAAAGUCAUGGUUAAGUGGGAAACGAUGUGGGAAGGCCCAGACAGCCAGGAUGUUGGCUUAGAAGCAGCCAUCAUUUAAAGAAAGCGUAAUAGCUCACUGGUCGAGUCGGCCUGCGCGGAAGAUGUAACGGGGCUAAACCAUGCACCGAAGCUGCGGCAGCGACGCUUAUGCGUUGUUGGGUAGGGGAGCGUUCUGUAAGCCUGUGAAGGUGUGCUGUGAGGCAUGCUGGAGGUAUCAGAAGUGCGAAUGCUGACAUAAGUAACGAUAAAGCGGGUGAAAAGCCCGCUCGCCGGAAGACCAAGGGUUCCUGUCCAACGUUAAUCGGGGCAGGGUGAGUCGACCCCUAAGGCGAGGCCGAAAGGCGUAGUCGAUGGGAAACAGGUUAAUAUUCCUGUACUUGGUGUUACUGCGAAGGGGGGACGGAGAAGGCUAUGUUGGCCGGGCGACGGUUGUCCCGGUUUAAGCGUGUAGGCUGAUUUUCCAGGCAAAUCCGGAAAAUCAAGGCUGAGGCGUGAUGACGAGGCACUACGGUGCUGAAGCAACAAAUGCCCUGCUUCCAGGAAAAGCCUCUAAGCAUCAGGUAACAUCAAAUCGUACCCCAAACCGACACAGGUGGUCAGGUAGAGAAUACCAAGGCGCUUGAGAGAACUCGGGUGAAGGAACUAGGCAAAAUGGUGCCGUAACUUCGGGAGAAGGCACGCUGAUAUGUAGGUGAAGCGACUUGCUCGUGGAGCUGAAAUCAGUCGAAGAUACCAGCUGGCUGCAACUGUUUAUUAAAAACACAGCACUGUGCAAACACGAAAGUGGACGUAUACGGUGUGACGCCUGCCCGGUGCCGGAAGGUUAAUUGAUGGGGUUAGCGGCAACGCGAAGCUCUUGAUCGAAGCCCCGGUAAACGGCGGCCGUAACUAUAACGGUCCUAAGGUAGCGAAAUUCCUUGUCGGGUAAGUUCCGACCUGCACGAAUGGCGUAAUGAUGGCCAGGCUGUCUCCACCCGAGACUCAGUGAAAUUGAACUCGCUGUGAAGAUGCAGUGUACCCGCGGCAAGACGGAAAGACCCCGUGAACCUUUACUAUAGCUUGACACUGAACAUUGAGCCUUGAUGUGUAGGAUAGGUGGGAGGCUUUGAAGUGUGGACGCCAGUCUGCAUGGAGCCGACCUUGAAAUACCACCCUUUAAUGUUUGAUGUUCUAACGUGGGCCCGUAAUCCGGGUUGCGGACAGUGUCUGGUGGGUAGUUUGACUGGGGCGGUCUCCUCCUAAAGAGUAACGGAGGAGCACGAAGGUUGGCUAAUCCUGGUCGGACAUCAGGAGGUUAGUGCAAUGGCAUAAGCCAGCUUGACUGCGAGCGUGACGGCGCGAGCAGGUGCGAAAGCAGGUCAUAGUGAUCCGGUGGUUCUGAAUGGAAGGGCCAUCGCUCAACGGAUAAAAGGUACUCCGGGGAUAACAGGCUGAUACCGCCCAAGAGUUCAUAUCGACGGCGGUGUUUGGCACCUCGAUGUCGGCUCAUCACAUCCUGGGGCUGAAGUAGGUCCCAAGGGUAUGGCUGUUCGCCAUUUAAAGUGGUACGCGAGCUGGGUUUAGAACGUCGUGAGACAGUUCGGUCCCUAUCUGCCGUGGGCGCUGGAGAACUGAGGGGGGCUGCUCCUAGUACGAGAGGACCGGAGUGGACGCAUCACUGGUGUUCGGGUUGUCAUGCCAAUGGCACUGCCCGGUAGCUAAAUGCGGAAGAGAUAAGUGCUGAAAGCAUCUAAGCACGAAACUUGCCCCGAGAUGAGUUCUCCCUGACUCCUUGAGAGUCCUGAAGGAACGUUGAAGACGACGACGUUGAUAGGCCGGGUGUGUAAGCGCAGCGAUGCGUUGAGCUAACCGGUACUAAUGAACCGUGAGGCUUAACCUU